GUUGCUUCGUGUUCGUGCUGCGCAUUAGUUUGAACGUAUUUGUGUUUUGGUGUUUUUUUUUCUAUUUUAUUUAAAAUUAGUGCUUUGGUGGACAAAUAAUCAAAUGGCAUAAAUUGGCGAUAAAAUUGUUUGCAGAUUUUUGGUGUCGGUGAAGAAAUUUUAUCCAACAUAAUGGAGAGCCAUGUGAAUGUUUUGCCGAACAAAAUCAUCCUACAUUUUAUAGCCAUGCAAGGUACACUGAGUAAUAAUUUUUAGCAAUUUUCAACACCGCGUAAAGGAACAGAUACUCGAGGUGGAAAUACUUCUUUCACCAGCUUUCCUUCAGAGUACUUUUUUUAUCUAGUGUGGUGGUUUUUGUAGUAUUAAGUAAUAUUGUAAGUGCGAA